rnacentral:rRNA from 1 species
UGGGGAAUUUUGGACAAUGGGCGAAAGCCUGAUCCAGCAAUGCCGCGUGUGUGAAGAAGGCCUUCGGGUUGUAAAGCACUUUUGUCCGGAAAGAAAUCCUUGGCUCUAAUACAGUCGGGGGAUGACGGUACCGGAAGAAUAAGCACCGGCUAACUACGUGCCAGCAGCCGCGGUAAUACGUAGGGUGCAAGCGUUAAUCGGAAUUACUGGGCGUAAAGCGUGCGCAGGCGGUUUGCUAAGACCGAUGUGAAAUCCCCGGGCUCAACCUGGGAACUGCAUUGGUGACUGGCAGGCUAGAGUAUGGCAGAGGGGGGUAGAAUUCCACGUGUAGCAGUGAAAUGCGUAGAGAUGUGGAGGAAUACCGAUGGCGAAGGCAGCCCCCUGGGCAAUACUGACGCUCAUGCACGAAAAGCGUGGGGGAGCAAACAGGAUUAGAUACCCUGGUAGUCCACGCCCUAAAACGAUGUCAACUAGUUGUUGGGGAUUCAUUUCCUUAGUAACGUAGCUAACGCGUGAAGUUGACCGCCUGGGGA